AAAGCAUUCAAAAUGGAUGCUAAGCUGCCCCAGCAGACAGGUAUGGAGAGGUCAAAGGUUCGGAGUGCUGUGGACCCUCAGGAUUUGACUGCGAGCACAGUAGAUGGGUUGUUUCUCAAAAUGAAUAAUAAAAAUAGUAAUAAUUAUGGAAAGAAGAGGAAACUGCCAAGAAAAUGAAAAGAAACCUGCAAGAAGAGAAUUCUGGGUAGCAGAACACUUGGCAGAACUGAUUUUAAUAUCUGACAAGUUGAAUUCACUAAUCUUUGCUAUUGAUAUUGACGUGAAACUUCAUACAGUUUUAGAGAUUCAUAUCUAUUAAGACAUGCAGCAGUGUUCCUACAACAUGGGAACAAGUUAGCUAGAGUCUAUUAUUAUUCUUCCUCCAUGAUAAAAAUUGAUAUGAACUCUUUUAAACUCCUAAUGGAUAAUUACUCUGAACACUCAAUAAAGAAAGCUAUAUCUUUGGAAUAUUCCUUUAUCUUAAAAAAAAAAAAAACCAAAUCAAACCAAAACAAACCCAACAACACUUUUUUCCUCUUUUGUUUCUUUGAUUACUUGGAGCCUUGUAAUCAAACUAAGCUUAGUUUCAGGACCCUUGGGGCAGUAUCUCUUAGUUCCCUGUCAAGCUGCGUUGCAAAACAAUCAAUCUUGCUCUUGCACUUGGCGGAAGUGCCAUGACAUGAAGAGUGCAACGCUUUGCACUUGCCGUGAAGCCUCGAUGACAAAAGUUUUUAUAAAAAGCCGACUGUAUUUAGGGUUAUGAAUAUGCAAUGACUCUCAUUAGUAUUGAAGCACAGGAGCAGGGGCUGACAUCCCCCGCCACUUUGAGCUGCUGCAGAAUUGUCUAAUGAAUUGUCUUGCUCUUUCACUCACACAGUCUUUUCUGUUGUGGCUCCCAGUUCCAAGGGGAGUUGCCCAGUUUGAGGAUACUAUUGACUGCAGAAAUUAAUUGCCAAAAACUGCUCUUGAUUUUGUGAACUAUGUUGAGACAGUGUUUAAACUGCCAAAACAGAAGACCAUUAAACUCUACAUGAGAUAAAAUCAUCACGAGUGAGAGAACCUAUAAGCUUAUAUAACAUAUGCAUGUAAGUAUACAUACAGUAACAUAAUUUGUACAUGUAUGUAUAUCAGUAUAUGAGAUACAUUAAAUGAAAUCAAGUCAUAGAAA